rnacentral:rRNA from 1 species
AUUGAACGCUGGCGGCAGGCCUAACACAUGCAAGUCGAACGAGUGGCGGACGGGUGAGUAAUGUCUGGGAAACUGCCUGAUGGAGGGGGAUAACUACUGGAAACGGUAGCUAAUACCGCAUACCAUCGGAUGUGCCCAGAUGGGAUUAGCUAGUAGGUGGGGUAAAGGCUCACCUAGGCGACGAUCCCUAGCUGGUCUGCGAGGAUGACCAGCCACACGGGAACUGAGAAACGGUCCAGACUCCGAAGGGAGGAAGCAGGGGGGAAUAUUGGACAAUGGGCGCAAGCCUGAUGCAGCCAUGCCGCGUGUAUGAAGAAGGCCUUCGGGUUGUAAAGUACUUUCAGCGGGGAGGCGGUACCCGAAGAAGAAGCACCGGCUAACUCCGUGCCAGCAGCCGCGGUAAUAC